rnacentral:rRNA from 1 species
CAGUAGCCACUGUAAUACGGAGGGUGCAAGCGUUAAUCGGAAUUACUGGGCGUAAAGCGUGCGUAGGCGGUUCGUUAAGUCUGUUGUGAAAGCCCCGGGCUCAACCUGGGAAUGGCAAUGGAUACUGGCGAGCUAGAGUGUGUCAGAGGAUGGUGGAAUUCCCGGUGUAGCGGUGAAAUGCGUAGAGAUCGGGAGGAACAUCAGUGGCGAAGGCGGCCAUCUGGGACAAUACUGACGCUGAGGCACGAAAGCGUGGGGAGCAAACAGGAUUAGAUACCCCUGUAGUCCCUGUCUCUUAUAC